rnacentral:rRNA from 1 species
UACGGGGGGAGCAAGCGUUGUUCGGAUUUACUGGGCGUAAAGGGCGCGUAGGCGGCCACGACAAGUCACUUGUGAAAUCUCCGGGCUUAACUCGGAGCGGUCAAGUGAUACUGUCGGGCUAGAGUGCAGAAGGGGCAACUGGAAUUCUCGGUGUAGCGGUGAAAUGCGUAGAUAUCGAGAGGAACACCUGCGGCGAAGGCGGGUUGCUGGGCUGACACUGACGCUGAGGCGCGAAAGCUAGGGGAGCGAACGGG